AUUGAACGCUGGCGGCAUGCCUUACACAUGCAAGUCGAACGGCAGCACGGGUGCUUGCACCUGGUGGCGAGUGGCGAACGGGUGAGUAAUACAUCGGAACGUACCUUAUCGUGGGGGAUAACGCAGCGAAAGCUGUGCUAAUACCGCAUACGCCCUGAGGGGGAAAGCGGGGGAUAGCAAGACCUCGCGCGCUUAGAGCGGCCGAUGCCUGAUUAGCGUGUUGGUGGGGUAAAAGCCCACCAAGGCGACGAUCAGUAGCUGGUCUGAGAGGACGAUCAGCCACACUGGGACUGAGACACGGCCCAGACUCCUACGGGAGGCAGCAGUGGGGAAUUUUGGACAAUGGGGGCAACCCUGAUCCAGCAAUGCCGCGUGAGUGAAGAAGGCCUUCGGGUUGUAAAGCUCUUUUGUCAGGGAAGAAACACCGGCUCUAACACAGUCCGGGAAUGACGGUACCUGAAGAAUAAGCACCGGCUAACUACGUGCCAGCAGCCGCAGUAA
rnacentral:rRNA from 1 species